AUUGAACGCUGGCGGCGUGCUUUACACAUGCAAGUCGGACGAGUGGCGAACGGGUGAGUAACGCAUCGGAACGUAACGAGUAAUGGGGGAUAACUGUCCGAAAGGACAGCUAAUACCGCAUAUUAUUCGAGCGGCCGAGGUCUGAUUAGCUGGUUGGCGGGGUCACGCCAAACCAGGGCGACGAUCAGUAGCGGGUCUGAGAGGAUGAUCCGCCACACUGGGACUUAGACACGGCCCCGACUCCUGCGUGAGGCAGCAGUGGGGAAGUGUGGACAAUGGGCGCAAGCCUGAUCCAGCCAUGCCGCGUGUCUGAAGAAGGCCUUCGGGUUGUAAAGGACUGUUGUCAGUGAAGCGGUACCUGAAGAAUAAGCACCGGCUAACUACGUGCCAGCCGCCGCGGUAAUAC
rnacentral:rRNA from 1 species